rnacentral:rRNA from 1 species
GACGAACGCUGGCGGCGUGCUUAACACAUGCAAGUCGAACGGUAAGGCCCUGCUUUUGUGGGGUGCUCGAGUGGCGCACGGGUGAGUAACACGUGUGUAACCUGCCCUUUACUUUGGGAUAACUUCUGGAAACUGGGGCUAAUACCGGAUAGGAGCUCCUUCUGCAUGGUGGGGGUUGGAAAGUUUCGGCGGUUGGGGAUGGACUGGCGGUUCAUCAGCUUGUUGGCGAGGUAGUGGAUUACCAAGGCUUUGACGGGUAGCCGGACUGAGAGGGUGACCGGCCACAUUGGGACUGAGAUACGGCCCAGACUCCUACGGGAGGCAGCAGUGGGGAAUAUUGCACAAUGGGCGGAAGCCUGAUGCAGCAACGCCGCGUGCGAGAUGACGGCCUUCGGGUUGUAAACCGCUUUCGCCUGUGACGAAGCGUGAGUGACGGUAAUGGGUAAAGAAGCACCGGCUAACUACGUG